rnacentral:rRNA from 1 species
GACGAACGCUGGCGGCGUGCUUAACACAUGCAAGUCGAACGGAAAGGCCCUGCUUUUGUGGGGUGCUCGAGUGGCGAACGGGUGAGUAACACGUGAGUAACCUGCCAUUGACUUUGGGAUAACUUCAGGAAACUGGGGCUAAUACCGGAUAGGAGCUCCUGCUGCAUGGUGGGGGUCGGAAAGUUUCGGCGGUUGGGGAUGGACUCGCGGCUUAUCAGCUUGUUGGUGGGGUAGUGGCUUACCAAGGCUUUGACGGGUAGCCGGCCUGAGAGGGUGACCGGCCACAUUGGGACUGAGAAACGGCCCAGACUCCUACGGGAGGCAGCAGUGGGGAAUAAUGCACAAUGGGCGGAAGCCUGAUGCAGCAACGCCGCGUGCGGGAUAACGGCCUUCGGGUUGUAAACCGCUUUCGCCUGUGACGAAGCGUGAGUGACGGUAAUGGGUAAAGAAGCACCGGCUAACUACGUG